CAUAUUUGUGGAUGGGCUGGGGCUGGAGCGGGGCCCGAGAGCCCGCAGGGGCGGAGCGCCCGGAUAACAGAUGACCUAUCUUGCUUCUGCUACAAUUUCUUCAUAUGUAUUGGGACAUGAACAUCAUCAAGAACAGACUCUAGAUCCUUGUAAAACAUUGCAUUUAUGCAGCACUUUUCUAAUAAGGAUUUAAGUUGCUUACUGAUUUCUGAGGUGUAAACGCAGACACUGAAAAUUUAUGACAGUGAAGCUUUUCAAAACUUAGAAAAACUGGCACUUGAGUCUCAAAAGGUUCCUGAAUCUCAGAAAGCUAAGAGGAAAUCAUCAUUUAUGGAGUCAUCAGUGCCAAUAAAAAUUCCCAUGAACAGAUGUUCCUUUGUAUUGCCCCCUCUGAAGAAAUGAUAGCAUUGUCUAGAAAAACAAAGGCCAUCCAAGAAAAUGGAAAAUGGGCUUACAUGUUUGUUAUGCUAUAAUAACAGUUUAUAAUUAAAGCUUUCUUUGC